UGGAUUCGUCUGGGGGGGAGAGUGGCGAACUGGUGAGUAACACGUGGGUGACCUGCCCCGAAGACGGGGAUAACCGUUGGAAACGACGGCUAAUACCCGAUAUACUCGAUGAUUCGGUUCAUCGAGUAAAGGCUCCGGUGCUUCGGGAUGGGCCUGCGGCCUAUCAGCUAGUUGGUGGGGUAAUGGCCCACCAAGGCGAAGACAGGUAGGGGGCGUGAGAGCGCGGCCCCCCACACUGGCACUGAGAUACGGGCCAGACUUCUACGGAAGGCAGCAGUCGGGGAUAUUGCACAAUCGGCGAAAGCCGGAUGCAGCGACGCCGCGUGGGCGAUGAAGGCCUUCGGGUUGUAAAGCCCUUUUAUGGGGGAAGAGACAAGGACGGUACCCCAAGAAUAAGCGUCGGCUAACUACGUGCCAGCAGCCGCGGUAAAACGUAGGACGCAAGCGUUAUCCGGAUUUACUGGGCGUAAAGAGCGUUGAGGCGGUUCCGUAAGUUGGGCGUGAAAGCCCCGGGCUUAACCCGGGGAGGUCGUUCAAUACUGCGGGACUUGAGGGCAGCAGAGGGAGGCGGAAUUCCCGGUGUAGCGGUGAAAUGCGUAGAUAUCGGGAGGAACACCAGUGGCGAAGGCGGCCUCCUGGGCUGUUUCUGACGCUGAAGGCGAAAGCUAGGGGAGCGAACGGGAUUAGAAACCCCGGUAGUCCUAGCCGUAAACGAUGGAUGCUGGGUGUGGGGGGUAUAGAUCCCCUCCGUGCCGAAGCUAACGCGUUAAGCAUCCCGCCUGGGGAUUACGGCCGCAAGGCUUAAACUCAAACGAAUUGACGGGGGCCCGCACAAGCAGCGGAGCGUGUGGUUUAAUUCGAUGCUACACGAAGAACUUUACCUGGGCUUGACAUGUAGGUAGUAGUGAAGCGAAAGCGGAACGACCUUUCGGGGAGCCUACACAGGUGCUGCAUGGCUGUCGUCAGUUCGUGCCGUGAGGUGUCGGAUUAAGUCCCGUAACGAACGCAACCCUUGCCCUUAGUUACAUGUGUCUAAGGGGACUGCCCGGGACAACUGGGAGGAAGGUGGGGAUGACGUCAAGUCAGCAUGGCCUUUAUGUCCAGGGCUACACACA
rnacentral:rRNA from 1 species